AAUACAUGCAAGUCGAGCGAACGGACGAGAAGCUUGCUUCUCUGAUGUUCUCGGCGGACGGGUGAGUAACACGUGGAUAACCUACCUAUAAGACUGGGAUAACUUCGGGAAACCGGAGCUAAUACCGGAUAAUAUUUUGAACCGCAUGGUUCAAAAGUGAAAGACGGUCUUGCUGUCACUUAUAGAUGGAUCCGCGCUGCAUUAGCUAGUUGGUAAGGUAACGGCUUACCAAGGCAACGAUGCAUAGCCGACCUGAGAGGGUGAUCGGCCACACUGGAACUGAGACACGGUCCAGACUCCUACGGGAGGCAGCAGUAGGGAAUCUUCCGCAAUGGGCGGAAGCCUGACGGAGCAACGCCGCGUGAGUGAUGAAGGUCUUCGGAUCGUAAAACUCUGUUAUUAGGGAAGAACAUAUGUGUAAGUAACUGUGCACAUCUUGACGGUACCUAAUCAGAAAGCCACGGCUAACUUCGUGCCCACAGCCGCGGUAAUACGUAGGUGGCAAGCGUUAUCCGGAAUUAUUGGGCGUAAAGCGCGCAGAGGCGGUUUUUUAGUCUGAUGUGAAAGCCCACGGCUCAACCGUGGAGGGUCAUUGGAAACUGGAAAACUUGAGUGCAGAAGAGGAAAGUGGAAUUCCAUGUGUAGCGGUGAAAUGCGCAGAGAUAUGGAGGAACACCAGUGGCGAAGGCGACUUUCUGGUCUGUAACUGACGCUGACGUGCGAAAGCGUGGGGAUCAAACAGGAUUAGAUACCCUGGUAGUCCACGCCGUAAACGAUGAGUGCUAAGUGUUAGGGGGUUUCCGCCCCUUAGUGCUGCAGCUAACGCAUUAAGCACUCCGCCUGGGGAGUACGACCGCAAGGUUGAAACUCAAAGGAAUUGACGGGGACCCGCACAAGCGGUGGAGCAUGUGGUUUAAUUCGAAGCAACGCGAAGAACCUUACCAAAUCUUGACAUCCUUUGACAACUCUAGAGAUAGAGCCUUCCCCUUCGGGGGACAAAGUGACAGGUGGUGCAUGGUUGUCGUCAGCUCGUGUCGUGAGAUGUUGGGUUAAGUCCCGCAACGAGCGCAACCCUUAAGCUUAGUUGCCAUCAUUAAGUUGGGCACUCUAAGUUGACUGCCGGUGACAAACCGGAGGAAGGUGGGGAUGACGUCAAAUCAUCAUGCCCCUUAUGAUUUGGGCUACACACGUGCUACAAUGGACAAUACAAAGGGCAGCGAAACCGCGAGGUCAAGCAAAUCCCAUAAAGUUGUUCUCAGUUCGGAUUGUAGUCUGCAACUCGACUACAUGAAGCUGGAAUCGCUAGUAAUCGUAGAUCAGCAUGCUACGGUGAAUACGUUCCCGGGUCU
rnacentral:rRNA from 1 species